GCAUUUCUCGCUCAAUUUUUCCAGUCUCUCUCAAGCGAAAAAAACCCUAAGUUACUACGAACACAGCCGCAGCCACCUUCACUCAAUCACCCACUACCACCACUGUAAUCCCUCAUCCCAGAACCAAAAAUCUUUGUUAUUAUUUUCCUUUUGAUUUACUUGAAUCGAAAAAAUGUUCCUACCUCAUCGUUCUUUUCAGCAACGAAUACCUAGAUUUGCUUCAGUUACCACCAAUUUCACUAACCGAGUACUAUCAUUUCUCUGCUUAUUGGGUGGUUAACAGGUACUUGGAGCACGAAAUUAGUGAAAUGGCAAACUGCAUAUCCACCGUGGAAUUCCAUGUCGCGGCGAGCUGCACGUCCUUAUAUGCUGGUAGAUCAUUUUAAAGAUGUCACUCCUCAAGAGACAAUCCAAAUGGAUAAAGAAUGCCUGAGAAACAUUAUCCUGGAAGGGUACCUUCGAGUACGUCGAGGAAGGAACUAAGGCACUUCUUUCUCAGCUAGGUGCAUACUGCUGGAGUUGGUGAUUUCCUAUUAGCUAGCUUGACACGCUUAGCUGAUCCAUUUCUUGUUGUUAGCGAUCUCGCUGAGUUAACCUGCAUGGAGUGCGAGUGUGUCAAAGCAGGGUCUUAUGUGAACUUAAGUUCCACAAUGUUUCAUUUGAAAUGGUUAAAACUCAUAAUCCUUGUCAGCAUAUUCUCGUUGGAGGUAUUACUCUUGAAGAAGAAGCUGUUGGAUGUAUUCAGGGAGCUAUGGUCCAGUUCAGGAUGUUAAGAUCCCUGACAACUGAAAAGGAUGCUCUGAUUUGUUACCUUUCUUAACAUGGACACUAUCAAAAUAAUUCUAAAUGAAGGGAACAUUUUUUUGUGGAACUCGAUUGCCGGUGAAGCCGUAUUGUGAAAAAUCACGACUUGUUGAUAGGAACUAUAGUGACAAACAUGAACAUGAGCAAGUUCUUGAAUAUAAGAUGAGGCGCCUGGGAGAGUUUGUUUUCAGAACAUGAGCAAUACUACGUGCAUUGAUUUUUUUCGACUCAUGACGACUGAACUCAUAAUGUAGGAUAUAAAUAAUGGACACCAAUCAUUUUCAUCUACAUCCCCCAACUAUUUAUUCUUGGUGGUGCUAUAACAUAUUAUUCUUCCUGAUAUUCCUUUCCUAGAAGCAGCUUAUAUGAGCUUCACAUCCGUUAGUGGUCCUGCUACUUCACAUCUAGUAAAGUAGCAUCUAAGAUGCACUUAUGUCUGUUGUUUCUGUCAUCAACUUAUAUGUAUGCUCAAUUUUUAUUGUUGGACAGGCGUAUUAGAUGCCAAUGCUGAAACUGGUACAACUAAAGAGAAAACUAGGUGCUACUGUUCUUGAUCUUGGUUGUGCUCUUCAGCCUUCAGGUGUUUGAGCUUUGGAGUUGAGCAUCCAGCUGCUUAAGUAGAUAAAUACUCUUGUGAUGCCUGCAACCUUUAUUCUUGUACCAACUAAGCAGCUGGAGAGGAUUUUUUUUGUCCAACAGCACUUGAGUAAGAUUGAAUUGUUUUUGGGUAGAUUUCAUAAUGAAUAGAAGGAUUCCUUUGUAUUUGUGUUUCCGUAGUGAAUGUAAGGAUGGUAGAAUGUUUGCAGAUUGAGAUUGUGUAAUAAUGAAUAUAGGAAUGGUAGAAAGAAUAUGGAUAGUUUGCAGAUUGAAAAAAGAAAAUUCAAUUGUGUUUCAGGUUUAUUUGUAUUUCAGGCCUGUAAACUGAAAGUGCAGGUCCAUGCUUGGAAACUGGAAGCCCGGGUCCAUGAAAAUGAUCUGGCUUACACAUUUGUUUUUAUUUGUAAUUUAAAGAAAAGCACAGGUUUAACUGUUACAACAAAUGUAACUAAAAAGAACCAGGUGUCUUUAUUAUGGUGUUCA